rnacentral:tRNA from 1 species
GCCAGCGUAGCUCAGGGGUAGAGCAACGGUUUCGUAAACCGUCGGUCGUCAGUUCGAAUCUGACCGCUGGCUCC